rnacentral:lncRNA from 1 species
GGGCUACUCGGGCCACGCAGCUGGAACCUGGAAAUUAGGAUUGGAAUCCUGAACUCCUAAAUCCAAACUACAGACUGGAAGUUACCAAAAAAUGUCACAGUGGUUCCUUGAUCAGGUAGAAAGAUGACAGAGCCCAACAUACCAGAACCUAGAAAGGAGGCGAAGGAGGCGGUCUAGAGGGAAGAGCACUUUGGUCAAAGGAUCAGGUGCAUAAAUGCGGAGGAAUGAGGAUGCCCGGCUUGCUGGAGGAUCAAGGGAAGAUGGCCUGCAGGAGCCAAGAAGUCUGGAGCAGCCAAAAAAACACAAAAGAAGUGCAACAAAAGAAGCUCCUGCCUUGACUGAUUGACCAGCCUUACGACGUUCCACCAUUAUGAAUUGUUCCUGUCCUGCCCCAACUGAUCAAUCGACCUUGUGACAUUCUUCUUCUGGACAAUGAAUCUUAUGAUCUCCCCACCAUGGACCCUGUGACCCCCUCCUCUGCUGACAAUAGAUAACCACCUCUAACUGUAACAUUCCACUGCCUACCUCAGUCCUAUAAAGCUGCCCCUCUCCUA